UACGUAGGGUGCUAGCGUUGUUCGGAAUCAUUGGGCGUAAAGCGCGUGUAGGUGGCUAUAUAAGUCGAAUGUGAAAUCCCUGGGCUCAACCGAGGAAGUGCAUUCGAAACUGUAUAGCUCGAGGACGGUAGAGGAAGGUGGAAUUCCAAGUGUAGAGGUGAAAUUCGUAGAUAUUUGGAGGAAUACCGGCGGCGAAGGCGGCCUUCUGGGCCGUUCCUGACACUGAGACGCGAAAGCGUGGGUAGCAAACAGG
rnacentral:rRNA from 1 species